CUCGGGGGCGGCGGCGGCGGCGCCGGGGCCUGGGCGCGGAGUCUGCAGUUUCUGGCGCGCCGCGUGCAGCUGGUAGGAGAGGUAGGCGGCCGCCUCGGUGUGCUUCUGCAGCUCAGUGCCCAGCACGGUGGCUCGGUGGCUGCGGCGACGCAGCUCCUCCAGGAAGCGGCGCUCCUCGGCGCGCAGGCUGCAGCGCAGCGCCGACACCAGCGCCUCGCGCUGCGCCACUUCCCGCCGCAGCUCCGCGUUGGCCGCCACCCGCGCCGCCAGCUGUGACUCCAGCUCGCGGCACUUGCUCUCCAGCUCCCGGGACGCCAACUCUGGACUAUGUUCCUUGAAGUCAAAGACCCCAUAUUGUCAUCGUGUUGAAUCUUGACACUCAGCAUCUUGGAGGGUGUGGACACGGACUGUGAGAAUCACUCGUGCAAGGAUGAGAAGGAUUAGGGAGGAAGCUGAUGUGGCGUUGCACGCUCUGGAUCUGAUGCUCCAGGGACACAGUAUCCAUGGCAACCCAGGCCUGGGCCCCACCUGGGGAGGAUGACAAGGUGAACCCACAUCUUCUGGGCCCAUCCACCCUGCCAACCUUCAGGUCCUUUCAAUUGUCUCCUUCAGUCUGGGGUCCUGUUGUACCAGGCAGAUGAUUCUGCCACUGAAGUCAUUUGUAUUUACUCACUGAAGCUUCAUAAACAAGCGGUGUGUUGGCAGGAAGUAUAAUUAUUCCCAUUUAACAGAUGAAGAACCAGAGGCUCAGAGGGAAAUGGCUUUACUCCCUUGCCCCCAUGUAACUUUAGCCUCUUCUGUAUCUCUGAGAGGAAAACAAAUGGGGCAGCAAAGUCAGUAAAGAGAGACAGACAUUUGGGUUCUCGUCUGCUUCUUCACAAGCUGUGUGACUUUGGGCCAGCCCUCUCCCUCUCUAGGCUCUCAGUUUUCUCCUGGGUAAAAUUAGGGAAUUGUGGAGAGGAUGAAUGCUGAAGCCUCUGCAGCUCUGCCACCCCUCAAGCGUCCCAGCUCAAGGGUGACCGUCAACUGGCAGGGCAGUGUGAUGGUUAGCGCACAACCCUCCGCCAGUUCAAUUCCAUUUCUCUGAUUUAACCUCAGCCCAGGGCUCUGGACUCUUCCAUGUUACAGAAGAGGAAGAUCUGAUGAAUGUUUUAUUAAGACUGAUCCUGUGGGCUGAGGGCAGGUGGUGGAGUCCCUUUUUCCAAGAGGAAUGGGGGAGGGUCAUAUGGAGACCUAAGCAGUAGGUCCAUGGUAGAAGCUUAUGACACUGUGAUGGGAGAGGGAGGCUUGCAUCCCUGAAUCCUAGUGAUGGCCUGGCUUUUCAGCGCUCUCUCUUCUGACCCUGACCCUUGCCCAGUGAGUCUCUUCUGUGAUGAUCAGCAUCUUGGAAAAGCAUAGGCAGAGGGCAAAAACAGGAGGCAGAGGGCAGCGGAAGCUGAGCCCUCUGGAGUCCAGGACUCAGAGCUCAUGCCUUCUCCGCCAGGGACUCCCAAAGCUUGUGACGGCCCUUCCUCCACCUGCCCUAGGAAUUCCCUGGCCAGAGGAGAGGAAAACCAGUUGCUGGCUUGUUCUGUUCAGCAAUGGUCCCCUUGAAACAGGCUUUCUGGUAAGCCUCUGCAAAGCAAGAUUUCCAUUUGUAGGGUCACAUCCAGCAGGUGCACCUGAGAACCUCACGUUCAUAGGUUCCUCUCUUGGGGCCCCCCUUCCCUUGUACCUGUAUGGCCUCCCUAAUCCAACCAAAUGGACUUUCACUUCAGCAGCGGGGUGGGUGGCCCUUUGGCCUGUGGGAAUCACUGGUUACAUUUACUGACCAUCUGCUAUAUUUAGGGAACUUUAUGCACAUUAUCUUACUUCUGCCAACCACUCUUCAGUAGGUAUCACCACCUCCAUUUCACAAACAAAGAAACAGACUCAGAGCUGAAGUGACUUGUGCCAGUUCACGUGGUCAGUAAGUGGCAGCAGAUCCAAUUCUCCAACCAAGUCUUUUGAAUCCAAAGAAGUUUCCCAGUAUUUACACUGAAAACAGUCCUGGGUUUGAAUCCUAGGUUUUUCGGUUCCCUGCUGUGUGACGUUGGGCAAGAAAGUUAACCUCUCUAAACCUUGCUUCCCCUCUCUGUAAAAUGAGGCUACUAACAGGAGCAGUCCUAGGAUAGUUGUGAGAGUUAAAUGAAAUUAGAAAUUGUAGAACAUUUAGCGCAGAACCUGGCUCAAUCAAUGCCUCAUCCCUUCUCCUCCCUGUUUAAUGUCUGAGUAGGUUAAUCCGUGCCCUGAUUUGUCCAUUUGUUCAUCAUUCAUUCAUUCAACGAUCAACUAUUACCAACCACUGUGCUGGGUACAGGGACAUAGUGAUGAACAAAACAGUAUUCCUGCUUUCUGCUCUCAUGGAGCUCACAAGGCCAAGAGAAGAGAAUCAAACAAAUAAACAGGUACAUCAAACAAACAAAUAAUACAAAUAAGUUUACAGUUACAAUCUAUAAGUGCUGUGAAAGAAACCUGCAGGGUAACGUUGAAAGAAUAUAAAGUGGGACCUAGUUUAGAUCUGGGGUCAGGGAAGGUAUCUUUGUGGAAAUGAUUUUAGGCUGAGGGACUUCCCUGUUGGCCUAGUGGAUAAGAAUCCGUGCUCCCAAUGCAGGGGGCCCGGGUUCGAUUCCUGGUUAGGAAACUAGAUCCCACAUUCAUGCCGCAACUAAGAGUUCACGUGCCACAGCUAAGGAGCCCGUGUGCCGCAAAUAAGGAGCCCAUGAGCCGCA